UACGUAGGUGGCGAGCGUUGUCCGGAUUUGCUGGGCGUAAAGAGCGCGCAGGCGGUCGUUCAAGUCGAGUGUGAAAGCCCCCGGCUCAACUGGGGAGGGUCAUUCGAUACUGAUCGACUCGAAGGCAGGAGAGGGUAGUGGAAUUCCCGGUGUAGUGGUGAAAUGCGUAGAUAUCGGGAGGAACACCAGUGGCGAAGGCGACUACCUGGCCUGUUCUUGACGCUGAGGCGCGAAAGCUAGGGGAGCAAACGGG
rnacentral:rRNA from 1 species